UACAGAGGGUGCGAGCGUUAAUCGGAAUUACUGGGCGUAAAGCGUGCGUAGACGGUUAUCUAAGUCGGAUGUGAAAGCCCCGGGCUCAACCUGGGAAUUGCAUUCGAGACUGAAUAGCUAGGGUGCGGUAGAGGGAAGCGGAAUUUCCGGUGUAGCGGUGAAAUGCGUAGAUAUCGGGAAGGAACAUCAGUGGCGAAAGCGGC
rnacentral:rRNA from 1 species